rnacentral:rRNA from 1 species
UACGGAAGGCAGCAAUGGGGAAUAUUGCACAAUGGGCGCAAGCCUGAUGCAGCCAUGCCGCGUGUAUGAAAAAGGCCUUCGGGUUGUAAAGUACUUUCAGUCGUGAGGAAGGUGUUAAGGUUAAUAACCUUAGCAAUUGACGUUAGCGACAGAAGAAGCACCGGCUAACUCCGUGCCAGCAGCCGCGGUAAUACGGAGGGUGCGAGCGUUAAUCGGAAUUACUGGGCGUAAAGGGCACGCAGGCGGUUAAUUAAGUUGGAUGUGAAAUCCCCGGGCUUAACCUGGGAAUGGCAUUCAAGACUGGUUAGCUAGAGUCUUGUAGAGGGGGUUAGAAUUCCAUGUGUAGCGGUGAAAUGCGUAGAGAUGUGGAGGAAUACCGGUGGCGAAGGCGGCCCCUGGACAAAGACUGACGCUCAUGUGCGAAAGCUGGGGAGCAAACAGGGAUUAGAUACCCG